AACUAUUCUAGCGGCUAUGCCUAUCAUCCCUACUGCUUACAAAGGCAAGCUUAAUGAUAGUUCCAGUAUAAAACUUCUAUACAUGUUCCUUGCAUACAGAUGCCUGUGAGGCUCCUCAUGCAGCGCCCCCUGCUGGCACAGUCCCUAAGGACAGCUCUGCAAUCACAUAGAAGCUCCAAACUCGCAGCUCCUGCUUAACAAUACUGCAAAACCGAUCAUCUUGACAGUGGCAAUAGUGGUGUCAUUUAAUAAAAGAACAGAACGCUGGAAUAAAACUGGGUGACAUUACACGUACAAAAUGCGCAUAACAUGUUCAGUGACAAGAACUUUGAAUGAAUAAUAAAGCAAGCGUGGCAUGUUUCUAGGGUUAUUAAGCAUGUGUAUAGCCUAGGCCUUAAACUGAUUCCAAACCAAACAUGCCCGCCAAUGAGCAGCUCCCCACUGUAAGUGCCACCCGCGGAGGACAUAUUAGUGCAUGAAUGUAAUUAUUUCUGCAAGCCUGCAGCUUACUUUCUAAUCUAUGAUUUGCUGUCGCUGUGUGUGCCGGGAGAUGUAGUAUAGCAGCAAGUAAAGGAUGCAGACUGCACAAAUAUAAGAAUAAAACCCCCGUUGGCCAGCCUGAGCCUCGUGUAAAGCGCUGCGAGCACAAUCCCAGGCCGAUGUGCGAGGGAACAAAAUACUUCAGACCUCAUUAAUAACAUGUCAACGAGCAACAACACAAUUUAUUAGUAAUAAGCAAAAUAUGUCCUUUAGUCAGAGAAAUGCUUGGCGGGUUACAUUUCCCGCCUCUCGGAACCGCGGCCUUCUGAAGCGCCUGUGCAUAGCCAGGCAUCAGCCCUUCCCGCCUUUACAGUUCCCUUCGCUUCUAGAACCCCCAGAACCCGGGAAGCCCCUGGCACAGCCCCGGAUCCCCGGAAACCCGCCGGCUUUAACGCAAUAAACAGGAAAUCGUUCGGAUGAUCUGGGUUCCGGGGGAAGUUGAAUUAUUUUUUACCACAGAAGAGAUCAACUUCCACAUCCGGUAGGGCCCGACACCCAAGACUGACCUGGAAAAGAUUCGGAAGGAAAGUAGGUUCUGGCGGAGGGAUACACAAGACGAGGCGAGGACGCAGCGAAGUAGCGCAUGCGUGGAAUGGAAUCGAACUAGUGGCGUUUUGUGGAACUGUGGGUUGUCUCCGGAAUAAGCUGCCGGUUCCGUUAUUAGCAUUCUGUGUGCCAAGUGGCACGGUUGUUUGUGGCUUUCCGACUUUUUUGUUUUGCUCGUUUAACUGAAUGCGUUUACACAAACACCAGAUGCUACGUUUCAAUUGUUUUUUUUUUUGUUUUAUUGCUCAGCAUGUAUUAACUAGGCAGCAAUUCUCACUUGUAUACAUCUCCCCCAGUGCUGUACGGUAGAAAGAUGUGUGGCUCAAACUUGAACGAUAUAAAUAGAGCCUGUGCAAUAAGUAAAGACGGUUCAUGCGAUACCUA